UCAAAGGCUCUUUUCAGAGCCACCCCCUCUUUCAAAUAAAGAGCUGU
rfam:Otolemur garnettii contig191568, whole genome shotgun sequence.